AGUUACCUGGGGUGUUCGACACGCCUGUAUAUUUGAACCUACAUUUUUUUUGACGGGAAUCUCAUAUAUUGGUAAUAUGUCAAGCCUCCAAUUUGCAGUGGAAGACAGAAAAGCCAAUGCGGAUACCCACCUGGCUGAGGCUAGGAGUCAAAUCGCAGGAAACGGCACUUUGGGAACUUU
rnacentral:other from 1 species